rnacentral:rRNA from 1 species
GACGAACGCUGGCGGCGUGCCUAAUACAUGCAAGUAGAACGCUGAAGGAGGAGCUUGCUUCUCUGGAUGAGUUGCGAACGGGUGAGUAACGCGUAGGUAACCUGCCUGGUAGCGGGGGAUAACUAUUGGAAACGAUAGCUAAUACCGCAUAAUAGUAGAUGUUGCAUGACAUUUGCUUAAAAGGUGCAAUUGCAUCACUACCAGAUGGACCUGCGUUGUAUUAGCUAGUUGGUGGGGUAACGGCUCACCAAGGCGACGAUACAGAGCCGACCUGAGAGGGGGGACGGCCAACCUGGGACUGGAGCACGGCCCAGGAUUCUACGGGAGGCAGCAGUAGGGAAUCUUUGGCAAUGGACGGAAGGCUGACCGAGCAACGCCGCGGGAGGGAAGAAGGGUUUCGGAUCGUAAAGCUCUGUUGUAAGAGAAGAAAGAGUGUGAGAGUGGAAAGUUCACACUGUGACGGUAUCUUACCAGAAAGGGACGGCUAACUACGUG